GUAGGUGGCAAGCGUUGUCCGGAAUUAUUGGGCGUAAAGCGCGCGCAGGCGGUCCUUUAAGUCUGAUGUGAAAGCCCACGGCUCAACCGUGGGAGGGGUCAUUGGAAACUGGGGGGACUUGAGUACAGAAGAGGAAAGCGGAAUUCCAAGUGUAGCGGUGAAAUGCGUAGAGAUUUGGAGGAACACCAGUGGCGAAGGCGGCUUUCUGGUCUGUAACUGACGCUGAGGCGCGAAAGCGUGGGGAGCAAACAGGAUUAGAUACCCUGGUAGUCCACGCCGUAAACGAUGAGUGCUAAGUGUUAGGGGGUUUCCCGCCCCCUUAGUGCUGCAGCUAACGCAUUAAGCACUCCGCCUGGGGAGUACGGCCGCAAGGCUG
rnacentral:rRNA from 1 species